rnacentral:rRNA from 1 species
AUGGAAGGGCUACUACACUGGGAUUUUGCGCCGGGCCUGGCCCUGGCCGAUCAGGUGAGGCGCAGGUUUGGUUCCACGGUUCACUUUUCCCCCUCCCGGGACACCAAGGAGUUCUUUUUGGUGGUCUCGUUUUCGUCAGCAUCCUUCUGUCUUUCCACGGAUUCAGUUGGUCUUGCUCUCCAGUGUUGUAUUGGU